rnacentral:lncRNA from 1 species
CGGGCGAGAAGGUUUAUUACGCGGCAUUUGUAUCUCCGAUGAAAACGCCUCGAAUUAUAAAACCCCUCGAAUUAUAAAACCCGACAUUUCGUCGACGCGGUACUGCACGGUGUACCCGGCGCCACCCAAGUCCAACUUGGAGAACUGUAACGACCGCGCGUCCAGAGAGAAACAAAACCGGCGACCACGAUGACCAGUUCGGCUACCGUCCCUUAAGAGGCACGAAAAAAGAUUCCCCCGUGGUUUGUGAAGACGGGGGCAGCGCAAAUCCAGUCGGUUUAUUUUUUUAACCCCAAACCAAGUUUUUUUUUGUUUUAGCCUUGCGUGAGAACGUCUAACCUCUGUUAUUGGACCUGGCGGAGGCUUGGCUGGUAGAAAGACCCGAGCUCGGCGGCUCUCGUUAAGGGCAGGGCGGGCCGCGCGAGUCCCGGGCUGGACCGACACCACUGCCGGUCUUUGACAGAGCCGAUUGGUGUUUUCUCGCUUUAAUAUGCGGCUUUAAAGGACAUGAACGGAUCCCACCAGUCCAUUUUCUAUCCGCUCCCCCCCCCCGACUCCGCACGGGCAGCACCCCGGCGCUGCGAGACAGGGCGCCGCCGGCGCGCCCGUGUUACAGCUCCCAGGGUAGAAAAAUCCCGAGCUUCAGGCCUGCCGGAUGAAGUUGAGCGACUCUCUCAAACGAACCCCUCUAGACACCAGCAGCCCCCAGAGUCGCCUCUUGUUGAGCAGACUGGAGCGGAUUCUCCGACGGCUCAAGACGGACCCUGUCAUUCAAUAAUUCGCCGAUGAGUUUGCGGACCGGGGGUGUCGCCAACAGGAAGAUUUGGGAGCGGGGGGGCAAUUUAUCCGGGAGAUUAUGGAACUUCCUGGAGGUCUGGUGUCAGAAAUACGGACGAAGUCAACGUGUCGGCGCCUGGAGCACCGCGGCGUGAAACCACAGCAGGAGAGCGACGCUCUAGAACAGGUGUCCCCGUUCUAGAACAGGGACAGCGAUUCUAGAACUGAUCUUCCCACAGGACAGGGGCAUAUCGGUUCUAGAACAGAGAGCUACAGCACCUGCGGCAUCGCUUUGUAGGACAGCGGUGUCUGCUCAGAGCCCAUGUUGUCCGAUAAACCGCCGUUACGCCAUUAACGUGCUCGUUAUGUGCUGUCAUUAACACGGCCACACGCGCUCGUCUCGGGCUGCUUAUCUUCCUAAUUUGAACUUUUUUCUAAAACAAAAACGCCAAAGGUGUAACGUUUGUACAAGAUAUGCCUUCUACCGCGUCUUGAACGGCUUACCCAAGUAUUAAAAAAGAAUUACGCUUAAUAAAUACCGAGCUGUAUUUCGGAAAACAGCGCACAAGGUGAGGGAUGUUCUAAAACAGCGGGUCAGUACAGGGGACUGAACACACGCUGA